rnacentral:rRNA from 1 species
AUACGUAGGGGGCGAGCGUUGUCCGGAAUGAUUGGGCGUAAAGGGCGCGUAGGCGGCCCGGUAAGUCUGGAGUGAAAGUCCUGUUUUUAAGAUGGGAAUUGCUUUGGAUACUGUCGGGCUUGAGUGCAGGAGAGGUAAGUGGAAUUCCCGGUGUAGCGGUGAAAUGCGUAGAGAUCGGGAGGAACACCAGUGGCGAAGGCGGGUAACUGGACUGCAACUGACGUUGAGGCGCGAAAGUGUGGGGAGCAAACAGGAUUAGAUACCCUGGUAGUCCACACUGUAAACGAUGAAUGCUAGGUGUAAGAGGUAUCGACCCCUUUUGUGCCGCAGUAAACACAGUAAGCAUUCCGCCUGGGGAGUACGGUCGCAAGAUUAAAACUUAAAGGAAUUGACGGGG